UACAGAGGGGCAAGCGUUGUUCGGAAUUACUGGGCGUAAAGGGCGCGUAGGCGGCCUGCUAAGUCGAACGUGAAAUCCCGGGCUCAACCCGGGAACUGCGUCCGAUACUGGCAGGCUCGAAUCCGGGAGAGGGAUGUGGAAUUCCAGGUGUAGCGGUGAAAUGACGUAGAUAUCUGGAGGAACACCGGUGGCGAAGGCGGCAUCCUGGACCGGCAUUGACGCUGAGGAGCGAAAGCCAGGGGAGCAAAGCGGG
rnacentral:rRNA from 1 species